GACGAACGCUGGCGGCGUGCUUAACACAUGCAAGUCGAACGGAAAGACCCUGCUUUUGUGGGGUGCUCGAGUGGCGAACGGGUGAGUAACACGUGAGUAACCUGCCCUUGACUUUGGGAUAACUUCAGGAAACUGGGGCUAAUACCGGAUAGGAGCUCCUGCUGCAUGGUGGGGGUUGGAAAGUUUCGGCGGUUGGGGAUGGACUCGCGGCUUAUCAGCUUGUUGGUGGGGUAGUGGCUUACCAAGGCUUUGACGGGUAGCCGGCCUGAGAGGGUGACCGGCCACAGUGGGACUGAGAUACGGCCCAGACUCCUACGGGAGGCAGCAGUGGGGAAUAUUGCACAAUGGGCGGAAGCCUGAUGCAGCAACGCCGCGUGCGGGAUGACGGCCUUCGGGUUGUAAACCGCUUUCGCCUGUGACGAAGCGUGAGUGACGGUAAUGGGUAAAGAAGCACCGGCUAACUACGUG
rnacentral:rRNA from 1 species